AUCAUAUUUGUUUAGUCAUUCUUUAUCUUCUUCUUAACUAAUGCCUAAUUGAUUAACAAAAAGAUUCUGGAUUCGCAUUACGCAAUUAGGGUUAGGGUUGGGUUAGGGUUAGAGUUGAACUCGUUUGUUUCGAUGGGAAUUUCAGCCAGAUUAUUCCUGAUCCACGAACCUCAUUUUUUUCCCCAAUUUUGUGGCUUCGAGAAUUCUUUGUAACUGAGAUACAUUGCUUUGGUAGAAUGAUUUUGACUAAAAUAUAUUCUAGGAAUACUUUAGUUAUAGACUAAAGAGACCGUACACAUCAAAUUUUUUUCUUCCCAAAAAUAAAAUAUCUAUUUUCUUGGCUGGUUUUUUGGGAUGAAUUUUUUAGAUGCGGUUAACCCCUGCUCAAAAUUUCAUCUAUGCUUUGUUAAGUAAUGGGUGCACCGAAGCAGAAGUGGGCUCCAGAGGAAGAAGCAACUCUGAAGGCUGAGUCUUUAAACACGGGCUUUGGAAAUGGCGGACGAUUUUCAAAGACCCACAAUUCAAUCGGGUUUUGUGUCUGCGAUCCAACAUUGAUCUGACGGUUAAAAGUCCUUCAUUAUACAGAUGUUAUGGGCAGCUGUUGAGCACGAUGGUUUAAUUGUGUAAUGCAUUGUGGGUUAGGAUAAGUGGAGGAACAUGACUAUUUUGGGGAAUGAAUGGGGCUCCGGGGAGAAGACUAGUUUAGCAAUUAAGAUGAUGGAUCAAGCUCCUAAGCUUGGUGAGAGCUCUAUUGGUAGAUCAAAGCAACGAGGAAAUGGUUGACAGUGGGCCUCUUCUGGUAUCCAACGGUUCUUCGCUAGCUGAUGGUCUGAAAAGAUCUAUCAUGGGGUUUCACAUAUUAUGUACAAGUUCCCAUCUCUCUUAUGCUUCUCUUUGAUUUGUCCAAGGUAUCUUUACAUUUAUAACCCGAGUAAGAGAUUCAUGAUUUAGACAUAAUUCAUUUUGCUCAUGUUCAGAUGUUCCGUGUAGGUUACUAAAAUUAGUUUGUGCGCCAAGGAAUUCAAUGGCAGAUGAUUCUCUGUUUCACGAAGGAUUCUGGAUCGGGGGCUGCUUACAUGAUUACUCACUAUCUAGAGAAGACCAUGUAACUUUCCUAGUUCCUUACAAAUUCUACACAACUUUGUCAUUUACAACUGUCCAAUGUGAUAUGAUUGUACAAGUUGUUUCACAUAUCUCCUUAUGACGUGAAAUUUUAGAUCUACCCUUCUAUUUGUUAAAAUCUGGCCAAAGGCAAUGAAUUUUAUUUUAG
rnacentral:lncRNA from 1 species